rnacentral:rRNA from 1 species
GUGGGUAGUCCGUACGAGCGCACCCUAUCCUUAGUUGCCAGCGAUUCGGUCGGGAACUCUAAGGAGACUGCCGGUGAUAAACCGGAGGAAGGUGGGGAUGAUGUCAAGUCAUCAUGGCCCUUAUGGGUAGGGCUACACACAUGCUACAAUGGAUAGUACAAAGGGUUGCCAAGCCGCGAGGUGGAGCUAAUCCCAAAAAACUAUUCGUAGUCCGGAUUGGAGUCUGCAACUCGACUCCAUGAAGUUGGAAUCGCUAGUAAUCGCGAAUCAGAAUGUCGCGGUGAAUACGUUCUCGGGCCUUGUACACACCGCCCGUCACGUCAUGGAAGUGGGUUGCACCAGAAGUGGCUUGUUUAACCUUCGGGAAAACGGUCACCACGGUGUGAUUCGCAACUGGGACGAAGUCGUAACAAGGUAGCCCUAGGGGAACCUGGGGCUGGAUCACCUCCUU